rnacentral:rRNA from 1 species
GGUUGAUCCUGCCAGUAGGCAUAUGCUUGUCUCAAAGAUUAAGCCAUGCAUGUCUAAGUAUAAGCAUUUAUACAGUGAAACUGCGAAUGGCUCAUUAAAUCAGUUAUCGUUUAUUUGAUAGUACCUACUAGAUGGAUAACCUCGGUAAAUCUGACGCUAAUACAUGCAUAAAAUCCCAACCUCUGGAAGGGAUGUAUUUAUUAGAUAAAAAAUCAAUGCCUUCGGGCUCUUUGAUGAUUCAUAAUAACUUGUCGAACCGCAUGGCUUUAGCUGGCGGUGGUUCAUUCAAAUUU